rnacentral:rRNA from 1 species
AUUGAACGCUGGCGGAAUGCUUUACACAUGCAAGUCGAGCGGCAGCGCGGGGGCAACCCUGGCGGCGAGCGGCGAACGGGUGAGUAACAUAUCGGAACGUACCCAGUCGUGGGGGAUAACUAUCCGAAAGGAUAGCUAAUACCGCAUACGUCCUGAGGGAGAAAGCGGGGGAUCGCAAGACCUCGCGCGAUUGGAGCGGCCGAUAUCGGAUUAGCUAGUUGGUGGGGUAAAGGCUCACCAAGGCGACGAUCCGUAGCGGGUCUGAGAGGACGACCCGCCACACUGGAACUGAGACACGGUCCAGACUCCUACGGGAGGCAGCAGUGGGGAAUUUUGGACAAUGGGGGCAACCCUGAUCCAGCCAUGCCGCGUGAGUGAAGAAGGCCUCGGUU